AAUCAACGCUGGCGGCGUGCCUCAGACAUGCAAGUCGAACGAUUAAAGCUCUCUUCGGAGAGUGCAUAGAGUGGCGCACGGGUGAGUAACACGUAAGUAAUCUACCUUCGAGUGGGGAAUAACGUCCGGAAACGGACGCUAAUACCGCAUAAUGCAGCGGCAUCGUAAGAUGACAGUUGUUAAAGAUUUAUCGCUUGAAGAGGAGCUUGCGGCAGAUUAGCUAGUUGGUAAGGUAAUGGCUUACCAAGGCUACGAUCUGUAACCGGUCUUAGAGGACGGUCGGUCACACUGACACUGAAUAACGGGUCAGACUCCUACGGGAGGCAGCAGUCGGGAAUUUUGGGCAAUGGGCGAAAGCCUGACCCAGCAACGCCGCGUGAAGGAUGAAGUAUUUCGGUAUGUAAACUUCGAAAGAAUAGGAAGAAUAAAUGACGGUACUAUUUAUAAGGUCCGGCUAACCACGUGCCAGCAGCCGCGGUAAU
rnacentral:rRNA from 1 species